rnacentral:miRNA from 1 species
CCCAGAUAAUGGCGCUCUCAAAC